CGCACAUUGCGCCCAUUGGUAUUCCGAUGGGCACGUCUGUUUGAGCGUCAUUACAACACCUCAGCUAGCUUUAUUGCCGGUUGGUCUUGGGUCAGGGUCUCCCGUCUGGGAACCCGGCUUCAAAGUUGCACGCUCUGCGGAUCCGACCGCUCAGAAAACAUAGUAUGACUGCUAAUUGUUGGAAGAGUUCUUUUGGUCGGGCUUCCGCCUGAACAAACUUCUUAACCAAAGUUUGACCUCAGAUCAGACGAGGAUACCCGCUGAACUUAA
rnacentral:misc_RNA from 1 species